AUGAGCUGCUCCUGGACUCACCGGAGCCAAAGCAGAACUUUGUUGUGAUAAAAUCUCCACCGUUAGGAUGACAGUAGCGCUCUAAAUGCUACUUAUUUUCAUUCAUCUGGGUUCAAUUUCAGCUCGGUUAACUGCCGAUGUGAAAAUCUCAAAUCCAAUUUGGAUAAAGUGUUUUGAGUCCAAGUACCAUGCCAAUCUGGAAUGAGUUUCGUUGCUUGUAAUUUUUCGACUCAGUGAUGAUGCACACAUCUCUGCUCGAGGUUUCAUUCUGGUCCUCAAAGACGUCUUCUUCACUGGCUAUAUGAAAAAAGUGCUUUCCAGCCAAUUAGUUCUUCAUGUUUGAGAACAGAUGGAAUUCCAGUUGUGCCAAGUCAAGAGAUCGUUAAAGCAAAACAGUUUUUGGCAAUUUUUCUGCAGAAUUUGUCUUGAUAGCCUCUUGUUAACAAAAAUCGCCAAGUUGGCACAGUACCCCUCCUUUAGAAGCUUUUCCAUAUUAAAACUUUAUUAUCCAAGC